AUGUUAGAAUUUAUAAAGUGCUAAUUAACUUUAUAUAACCAUUAACCAUGCUUAACCAUAUAACCCCUAGCUACUAACGGCUAAGGACAAGUUAAAUAUAACCCUGAAUGAAUGAGGAGUGACAGGUGGCAUUUGGGGAAGGCUGAUGAUUUUGGUAUCCUUGCAAGGUAGAGGUUGAAAUCAUCCUUUCAUACAUUUAUAUAUGAAUAUUUAUAUGUAUGUCCAGUUAGUAUUAGGUUUUAUAUGUAAAAUUCUGUGUUAGAGAUAUUGUUUAUGUUUUUUAUAUAAAUCACAGGAUUGGGUCUUCCGAGCUCAGUACAUUUGCCUAGGAAUUUGCCUUCUGUAACAGAAAUAGACAAGGGGAAUCAGCAUCCUUAUAGGCUAUUGUUAGACUUUACUACAUGACAAGUAGUGAGUCUAUGGUGCAGUAACACCUCUUACAUACAAGGUUGUGCUGAUACAUAGCCAUGUCCAUAGUAGGCAAUCCCUGACAAUAUAAUAUCUAUUACUGGCAAAUGGGUGGGUUUAAGUGGAAUAUGAUCUAUGUUAAACCUGUAUAAAGCAAGCCUUACUUGUAUUAGAGAGAGGGGAGAGGGUGGGAGAGAAGACACUCCCAGAAGGAACAUCAAGACCUCAGUACCCUCCAACAUCGGGUCAUGUAAGAUAAUAGGCCAGGCACCUUAGAAUAACUCAAUUUAUGUGCCAAUUAAGAAUUGUACUUUGUUUCUUAUAUUCCAUUUAUACCUAAAGGAUUAAAAGACUCUUCCUGUAUUAAUACUCAUGUUUAUUUGUGGAUUUUGAGGGUUCCCAGAGAGUACCCUCCCUUCAUCAAUCUAUCAUUAUGGAUUAUCAUUUUUUAUAAUAAUUCAUAUUUUACAAUGGCGAGCCAUCCAUAUUUUUUCUAAGAACUCUUAUUUUCUUGUAAAGAAAGACUCACCAGUCCCUGUGAUAAAAGGUAUACAAGGUAUAUAGUCAUAUUCCUUGUACAGGGGGGAGUGAAUGUCUGUUCUUUGAUAAAAGUUAGACAAGUUUUAAGAAGUUUUUGGAGGAAGAAAAGUACCUAGAGGUUUCUACUUUGUACUGAAAGUCCAGGAAGAGGUUUCCAGAACAAGUGAGAGCCCAAGAGAGGUUUUCAAACUGGACUGAAUACCCACGAGAGGUUUUCAGGAAAAGAAAGGUGUGAAAAUCCACAGGAAUCCUAAACAUGAGGUAGUCGGUGGCCACUGCCGUGGUAAGGACACGAAUUUCCUUAAUAUUCCUGGAUCCACAGAGAGACCCAAGGAAGACAGUAUUCAAUGCUACCCUGAUAGUGCACAAUCAAGAGACAGACAGGAAUACUGUAUGAAGAGUGAAAGUUCCUUGAUCAGCAGGUUAUGGAAGAAAAUCUCUAUUAAGCUGAUUAAAAGUAACAAGAUUAAAGAAGUAAUUCUACACAUGAUGAUGCUAUCUACAUUCGAACUUUCAUAAAAGUGACAAAUGUUCAUUAGUUCAAACCAGAGUUGUCAACAACAUUAAAGUAACUGGAACAACAGUGUUACGGCUGAGAGCAUCCAAGAAAAGAAGAAGCCAGAAGACUUCAAAAAUAGUUACUUUAUGGGUGUAGGGAUGUGAAUGUAGAAAUUAUGAUGGUUUUUUUUGAGUUUUUUAUGUGAAGGAAUAAUUAUCAGAUACUUUGGAUCUUAUUAUUAGGCAAAUGGUUAGGUAAACACAUACAAUACUUCAAUGUAAUACAUGAGUUUAGUUUAGAGAAUUAGUUUUUCUUAUACAUUCAUUUUCCAUUAUUUGUUUAGUAGAUUAUGUCAAUGGUAGCAGAAUUAAUAUAGUUCCAUCAUUUACCAUCAUAAGUUAAGUUAUCAAUUACUUUUAUAACUACAUGUAGUCUGUGUUGUUUAAGUAAACAUUUUACAACAUUGGACAUCUCAGUAGUAGUCUAAUGAGAUGUGGAAAAUAGAAACAGUUAAAACAGACCAAGUGGCUAAAGGGGGGGGCCUAGUUAGGUUCUAGUAAGGGCGUAGUCACUUCUAUUUAUGUUUAGUGUGAGGUGUGACGAUGAAGCCUAAUUAACAAUUACUAAGGACUUCCUUGUAAGCAUUUGAUAUAUGAAUGUUAACUGUUUACUUUACAAUAUAAUUUAAAGGACAUGCAGAUACAUAGUUAUAGGUUUCUGAGUAUAUGUAUUCCUGCUACAAAUGUUAUUUUUUGUUUUACAAAUUUGUUUUUUUUUAGAUGAUUAAUGUGUUAGUGAAACUGCUAUAUUGUUUCUUUUAUACAUAUGUAAAUGUAUGAGAAGGACCAAGCAAGGAGUACUUCCUAGAUGUAUCAUAGACUUUUCCAAAUACGUCACUUCCAGUCAUGUGUGAAUGAGAUAUGAAUGAUGUAUGCCUGACAUAAAUUAAUUAUUAAAUCAUUAAUUUCAGGGGGGAAUGUUAGAAUUUAUAAAGUGCUAAUUAACUUUAUAUAACCAUUAACCAUGCUUAACCAUAUAACCCCUAGCUACUAACGGCUAAGGACAAGUUAAAUAUAACCCUGAAUGAAUGAGGAGUGACAGGUGGCAUUUGGGGAAGGCUGAUGAUUUUGGUAUCCUUGCAAGGUAGAGGUUGAAAUCAUCCUUUCAUACAUUUAUAUAUGAAUAUUUAUAUGUAUGUCCAGUUAGUAUUAGGUUUUAUAUGUAAAAUUCUGUGUUAGAGAUAUUGUUUAUGUUUUUUAUAUAAAUCACAGGAUUGGGUCUUCCGAGCUCAGUACAUUUGCCUAGGAAUUUGCCUUCUGUAACAGAAAUAGACAAGGGGAAUCAGCAUCCUUAUAGGCUAUUGUUAGACUUUACUACAUGACAAGUAGUGAGUCUAUGGUGCAGUAACACCUCUUACAUACAAGGUUGUGCUGAUACAUAGCCAUGUCCAUAGUAGGCAAUCCCUGACAAUAUAAUAUCUAUUACUGGCAAAUGGGUGGGUUUAAGUGGAAUAUGAUCUAUGUUAAACCUGUAUAAAGCAAGCCUUACUUGUAUUAGAGAGAGGGGAGAGGGUGGGAGAGAAGACACUCCCAGAAGGAACAUCAAGACCUCAGUACCCUCCAACAUCGGGUCAUGUAAGAUAAUAGGCCAGGCACCUUAGAAUAACUCAAUUUAUGUGCCAAUUAAGAAUUGUACUUUGUUUCUUAUAUUCCAUUUAUACCUAAAGGAUUAAAAGACUCUUCCUGUAUUAAUA